UACAGAGGUCCCAAGCGUUGUUCGGAUUCACUGGGCGUAAAGGGUGCGUAGGUGGCGGGGUAAGUUUGAUGUGAAAUCUCCGAGCUUAACUCGGAAAUGGCAUUGAAUACUAUUCAGCUCGAGGUUUGGAGGGGGGACUGGAAUUCUCGGUGUAGCAGUGAAAUGCGUAGAUAUCGAGAGGAACACCGGUGGCGAAGGCGAGUCCCUGGACAACACCUGACACUGAGGCAACGAAAGCUAGGGGAGCAAACAGG
rnacentral:rRNA from 1 species